rnacentral:tRNA from 1 species
GGGUCGUUAGCUCAGUUGGUAGAGCAGUUGACUUUUAAUCAAUUGGUCGCAGGUUCGAAUCCUNAAGGGGUCG